rnacentral:lncRNA from 1 species
UUUGUCAACAAAGCGUCGAUUCAAGAAGAAAAUUCGUCAUUCAAACGCAGAAUGGCUGAUGAAGGUAGGACAAACGUGUGCAGCCAGAGUGGCAAGGCUUUCCGCCAGAGGCGAAAUUUGCAUACGCUCGAGAAAAGUCACACAGAAACGUUUCCCUAGGGGUUUCAGCUCUCGAUAGGCAUUGAUGAAGAGAGCAUAAGUUCACACUUAAACGUUCACGACAGGAGAGGGAACAAUCCUCGCACUUUCAGUUCUGACAUUUCCGGCUAUCUGGUGAUGACCCGUUACGAACUCACCGAGCACAUGCGGAGUCAUGAAGACAACCGGAGUCUGCCUGCAUACAAUGUGGUGCAUUGAAUAAGGACAGGCCAUUCCUGAAUCGGGAUAUAAGGCAACGUCGCAGGAAUGUUUGUGUAAUUUAAACCAGUGAAUACUUUGAAAAAUUGAUGAAGACAUGUUGAUCUUAAUUUUUUGUGGUACAUUCUGGUCAUUGUGUCAAAUAGCAUUUUUGGCAUGAUGCAACCCUCGUGCCUCUCUUUUUUUGUUCUUAAGCGGCUUUCAAAUUUAAAUAUCUGUUACUAUCAAAGCCAUUGACUUGUAACAUUAAAUAGUUAUUUGCUAUCAAAGUCUACACCAAUGAAACGAUUCCUGCUUCUUUGUUUGAAUUUGACAGAGUUAUGUCCGUUUCAACUAAGAAUGUUUUGGUUAAAGAUUUUGAUAAAGUCAAAUAUCGCUGUUAG